AACGAACGCUGGCGGCAUGCCUAAUACAUGCAAGUCGAACGAUCACUUCGGUGGUAGUGGCGCACGGGUGCGUAACGCGUGGGAAUCUGCCCUUGGGUUCGGAAUAACAUCGGGAAACUGAUGCUAAUACCGGAUGAUGACGUAAGUCCAAAGAUUUAUCGCCCAGGGAUGAGCCCGCGUAGGAUUAGCUAGUUGGUGGGGUAAAGGCCUACCAAGGCGACGAUCCUUAGCUGGUCUGAGAGGAUGAUCAGCCACACUGGGACUGAGACACGGCCCAGACUCCUACGGGAGGCAGCAGUAGGGAAUAUUGGACAAUGGGGGCAACCCUGGUCCAGCAAUGCCGCGUGAGUGAUGAAGGCCUUAGGGUUGUAAAGCUCUCCUACCCGGGAUGAUAAUGACAGUACCGGGAGAAUAAGCCCCGGCUAACUCCGUGCCAGCCGCCGCGGUAA
rnacentral:rRNA from 1 species